GUGAAGCAGCAGUGGUGCGCUGAUGCGCGAGCGCAACCCUCCCAUAGAAACAAACUUCAUGCGCUUGGUUUUCUUCACUACAUUCAUAGACACGAGAGGAAAGUGAAAUAUUAUUGGCCAGUGUUGUGAAGUUGUCCUUGAGAAUUUGAUUGAGAUAUGGAAUUAACGCUGAGAGAGUAUUAGUUCUUACUUCUGGGAUAAUUUUUUUUUUCGUCAUCAACGCAAAACAGCGCUGCUUACCACAGCUGAUAGAUGAAGUGAUACAGGUAUUUGAAUCUGUAUGAAAACCCAUCAUGCUACUGAAGAUUCUUCCUCUGUUGGAAGUCAUUGUUUUGCAGUACUGUCCCUAUUCAAUCACACUAGUGCAGCAGAAAUCCACGUCCGUGCAAAGAAAG